rfam:Agrilus planipennis Contig10356, whole genome shotgun sequence.
UCUCUCGUAGCUUAGUAGUCAGAGCAUUGGUGCAUAAAGCCAAAGGUCCCGGGUUCGAUUCCCGACGAGGGAA